UACGGAGGGUGCAAGCGUUAUCCGGAUUCACUGGGUUUAAAGGGUGCGUAGGAGGGCAGGUAAGUCAGUGGUGAAAUCUUCGAGCUUAACUCGGAAACUGCCGUUGAUACUAUCUGUCUUGAAUACCGUGGAGGUGAGCGGAAUAUGUCAUGUAGCGGUGAAAUGCUUAGAUAUGACAUAGAACACCAAUUGCGAAGGCAGCUCGCUACACGAAUAUUGACUCCGAGGCACGAAAGCGUGGGGAUCAAACAGG
rnacentral:rRNA from 1 species